rnacentral:ncRNA from 1 species
UCCUGAAAAAGGCAAACACAGGGAAACCUGUGGGCGCAAAGCCAUGGGCCUGUCGGGGAAAAGUCCCCUAUGGUCGCCAGGCUGCCAGG